GAAAAGCAUUUAUGGCAACACAGAGUAAAGCUGAAGUUGCUUUUGUUGUUCAUUGUUUGUUUGCUUCAAUUCUGCUAAAAGGGAUGAAAAAGUGUUACUUAGGAAGAGAGCGUUUCUAACUUUUCCCUAGCAGCUGAUGGAAACCGCGUGGGUUCCUCUUUCACACACCCGGAGCAGUGGCGUGACAGGUUGCUCGGGAGAGUCGUGGGUGUUUGUUCAUCUGUUAGGAGAAGGCCCAGGAUACAGGGUCUCUGGAGAAGCUGGCUGAUCCGGAAGCGUCUAGAAGCUAAAUUGACCGUGGAUACGUUGUUAAGUCUGCAUGCAACCGAGCAAUGUUCCCUAAGAAAACAAAGACUCUCCUUGUGCCGGAGACACAUUAGUCUCCCAGGUACCAACCUCCAGGAUUUGAAACCUAGAGUCUCCUUUUGGAUCUCCCAUCGCUUUCCAGCCAAUUAUUCAGCUUGAAAAGAAUUCAGAAUAGCUUUCAUGUCACCUGAGGGACUAACUGCCCGCCCCUGCAGAGCAUGCGCUUUCCAG